rnacentral:lncRNA from 1 species
CAGUUCCCAGCAGCCCACGGGCCCUGCCUUCUUUGCCUUGGCACCUGCUGGAGGAGAGGCUUUGUUCACCAGUGUGAGGAAACAGAAAGAAGCGGCGAAGUUUUCAGCACUUCAGUCUGGUGCAUCUGCUUGGUUCUGGAAGGACUAAAGCUAUGGGUACAAGAAGCAGUUAAAGUGUAGCAAAGACCUAGAAGCCUGUUGUCAUCUGUUUGUAUCGAGGCCCAGUGCUGAGUUCCUUGCGUGAUAGCAACAUCCCUUCCUGUGACAUCAGCCAAACUGGACACAUCACCAUUGAGGCAGGCACAGCCAGCCCAGAACCUCCCAGACAAUAACCACACCCUUUCCCUUCUCUGUGAAGAAUCAGCAACUUCUGCUUUAAUCCCCAAUGAGUUUCCAAAACAGCACGAUGCGACCACCCUCACUGAGCUCUGCAGCAGCACCAAUGUUCCUGAAGUGGAAAUUAUCAGCCUUCUGGGAGAGCAGUUGCCCCUCUACCAGCUCCGAGCAGAUUCAGUGUUUGGGUACGACCACGGCGAUUGGAUCCACACCCCUCUUGUCGCUCCUGAUGCUGCCCGCUGCCUUACCACACAACAGAUUGAGGAGACCCUGAAGUAUUUCUGUAAGUAAAGCCACCCCGAAGGGAAGGAGGAGGAAACUAUGAAUGG